UGGGGAAUAUUGCACAAUGGAGGGAACUCUGAUGCAGCGACGCCGCGUGAGCGAAGAAGGUUUUCGAAUCGUAAAGCUCUGUCCUAUGGGAAGAUAAUGACGGUACCAUAGGAGGAAGCCCCGGCUAACUACGUACCAGCAGCCGCGGUAAUACGUAGGGGGCAAGCGUUGUCCGGAAUCACUGGGCGUAAAGGGUUCGCAGGCGGAAAUGCAAGUCAGUUGUGAAAGGCAGAGGCUCAACCUCUGUAAGCAAUUGAAACUGUAUUUCUUGAGAUGUGGAGAGGCAAGUGGAAUUCCUAGUGUAGCGGUGAAAUGCGUAGAUAUUAGGAAGAAUACUGGUGGCGAAGGCGACUUGCUGGACACAAACUGACGCUGAGGAACGAAAGCGUGGGUAGCAAACAGG
rnacentral:rRNA from 1 species